rnacentral:rRNA from 1 species
AACAGGAUUAGAUACCCUGGUAGUGCACGCCGUAAACGAUGUCGACUUGGAGGUUGUUCCCUUGAGGAGUGGCUUCCGGAGCUAACGCGUUAAGUCGACCGCCUGGGGAGUACGGCCGCAAGGUUAAAACUCAAAUGAAUUGACGGGGGCCCGCACAAGCGGUGGAGCAUGUGGUUUAAUUCGAUGCAACGCGAAGAACCUUACCUACUCUUGACAUCCAGAGAACUUAGCAGAGAUGCUUUGGUGCCUUCGGGAACUCUGAGACAGGUGCUGCAUGGCUGUCGUCAGCUCGUGUUGUGAAAUGUUGGGUUAAGUCCCGCAACGAGCGCAACCCUUAUCCUUUGUUGCCAGCGAUUCGGUCGGGAACUCAAAGGAGACUGCCGGUGAUAAACCGGAGGAAGGUGGGGAUGACGUCAAGUCAUCAUGGCCCUUACGAGUAGGGCUACACACGUGCUACAAUGGCGCAUACAAAGAGAAGCGACCUCGCGAGAGCAAGCGGACCUCAUAAAGUGCGUCGUAGUCCGGAUCGGAGUCUGCAACUCGACUCCGUGAAGUCGGAAUCGCUAGUAAUCGUGGAUCAGAAUGCCACGGUGAAUACGUUCCCGGGCCUUGUACACACCGCCCGUCACACCAUGGGAGUGGGUUGCAAAAGAAGUAGGUAGCUUAACCUUCGGGAGGGCGCUUACCACUUUGUGAUUCAUGACUGGGGUGAAGUCGUAACAAGGUAACC